rnacentral:rRNA from 1 species
UACGUAGGGGGCAAGCGUUGUCCGGAAUCAUUGGGCGUAAAGAGCGCGUAGGCGGCCCAGCAAGUCCGCUCUGAAAGUCAGGGGCUCAACCCCUGAAUGCGGGUGGAUACUGCUGGGCUAGAGUCCGGAAGAGGCGAGUGGAAUUCCUGGUGUAGCGGUGAAAUGCGCAGAUAUCAGGAGGAACACCGAUGGCGAAGGCAGCUCGCUGGGACGGUACUGACGCUGAGGCGCGAAAGCGUGGGGAGCAAACAGG